CCAUAGCGUGCUAUGCUAUAAGCAUGAAAGUAGCGCUAUAUAAAAGCUAUAAAUAUAUAAAUGUACUUCUUUAACUAGAAGUUACGGAUGGAUUUUUUUCUUUUACAAAAAAUAUUGGAAUUUAUUUUUACAAACUAAAAACGUGAAUUACUCUUUGAGUUGGCAAAGCAGCAGUGCAAAAAAAAAAAAAAAAAAAAAAAAAAAACACAAAUGUGCAUUAUGUAGAUAAUAAUGGCGACCGUGUUCUA